GACGAACGCUGGCGGCGUGCUUAACACAUGCAAGUCGAGCGGUGAAGUUUCUUCGGAAAUGGAUUAGCGGCGAACGGGUGAGGAACACGUGAAGAAUCUGCCCUCCACUUCGGGAUAACACCGGGAAACCGGUGCUAAUACUGAAUAUUGAAACAUAAGUGGCAUCACUGAGUUUUGAAAGAAUUUCGGUGGAGGAUGACUUCGCGGCCUAUCAGCUAGUUGGUGAGGUAAUGGCUCACCAAGGCAACGAUGGGUAGCCGGCCUGAGAGGGCGACCGGCCACACUGGGACUGAGACACGGCCCAGACUCCUACGGGAGGCAGCAGUGGGGAAUAUUGGGCAAUGGAGGAAACUCUGACCCAGCGACGCCGCGUGCGGGAUGAAGGCCUUCGGGUUGUAAACCGCUUUCAGUAGGGAAGAAGCGAAAGUGACGGUACCUACAAAAGAAGCACCGGCUAACUAUGUGCCAGCCGCCGCAGUAA
rnacentral:rRNA from 1 species